rnacentral:tRNA from 1 species
CAGAGCACCGCCCUGUCAAGGCGGAACCCGUAGCUUCCGCCUUGACAGCUACGGGUUCGAGCCCCGUCAGUCCCG